rnacentral:rRNA from 1 species
CCUACGGGUGGCAGCAGUGAGGAAUAUUGGUCAAUGGCCGCAAGUCUGAACCAGCCAAGCCGCGUGAAGGACGAAGGUUCCAAGCAUUGUAAACUUCUUUUGUCAAGGGACAAAAUCAGACACGAGAGCCUGACCGAGGGUACUUUACGAAAAAGCAUCGGCUAACUCCGUGCCAGCAGCCGCGGUAAUACGGAGGAUGCGAGCGUUAUCCGGAUUUAUUGGGUUUAAAGGGUGCGUAGGCGGUCGGUUAAGUCAGCGGUAAAAUCCCGGGGCUCAACCCCGGCGAGCCGUUGAAACUGGCUGUCUAGAGAUGUCGAGAGGUAUGCGGAAUGCGCAGUGUAGCGGUGAAAUGCUUAGAUAU